rnacentral:rRNA from 1 species
CGUUGAUACUGGCAGUCUGGAAUGCGGAAGCCGUGGGAGGAAUGUGUGGUGUAGCGGUGAAAUGCAUAGAUAUCACACAGAACACCGAUUGCGAAGGCAUCUCACGAAUCCGCAAUUGACGCUGAGGCACGAAAGCGUGGGGAUCAAACAGGAUUAGAUACCCUGGUAGUCCACGCUGUAAACGAUGAUAACUAACUGUCGGCGAUACACUGUCGGUAGCCAAGCGAAAGCGAUAAGUUAUCCACCUGGGGAGUACGACCGCAAGGUUGAAACUCAAAGGAAUUGACGGGGGCCCGCACAAGCGGAGGAACAUGUGGUUUAAUUCGAUGAUACGCGAGGAACCUUACCCGGGCUCGAACGGCAGGGGAAUAAUCCAGAGAUGGAUUAGUCUUCGGACUCCUGUCGAGGUGCUGCAUGGUUGUCGUCAGCUCGUGCUGUGAAGUGUCGGCUUAAGUGCCAUAACGAGCGCAACCCUUGCCGUUAGUUGCCAUCAGGUUAUGCUGGGGACUCCAGCGGGACUGCCACCGCAAGGUGUGAGGAAGGGGGGGAUGACGUCAAGUCAGCACGGCCCUUACGUCCGGGGCGACACACGUGUUACAAUGGUGGGUACAGAGGGAAGCUACCUGGCGACAGGAUGCAGAUCUCGAAAACCCAUCCCAGUUCGGAUUGGAGUCUGCAACCCGACUCCAUGAAGUUGGAUUCGCUAGUAAUCGCGCAUCAGCCAUGGCGCGGUGAAUACGUUCCCGGGUCCUUGUACACAC